rnacentral:rRNA from 1 species
CCGCAAGGUUAAAACUCAAAUGAAUUGACGGGGGCCCGCACAAGCGGUGGAGCAUGUGGUUUAAUUUGAAGCAACGCGAAGAACCUUACCACCCCUUGACAUCCUCGGAACUUAGCAGAGAUGCUUUGGUGCCUUCGGGAACCGAGUGACAGGUGCUGCAUGGCUGUCGUCAGCUCGUGUUGUGAAAUGUUGGGUUAAGUCCCGUAAUGAGCGCAACCCUUGUCCUUAUUUGCCAGCGAUUCGGUCGGGAACUCUAAGGAGACUGCCGGUGACAAACCGGAGGAAGGUGGGGACGACGUCAAGUCAUCAUGGCCCUUACGGGGUGGGCUACACACGUGCUACAAUGGCCGGUACAGAGGGCCGCGAAGUCGCGAGGCGGAGCAAAUCUCAUAAAGCCGGUCGUAGUCCGGAUUGCAGUCUGCAACUCGACUGCAUGAAGUCGGAAUCGCUAGUAAUCGCAGAUCAGAAUGCUGCGGUGAAUACGUUCCCGGGCCUUGUACACACCGCCCGUCACACCAUGGGAGUGGCUUGCACCAGAAGUAGUUAGUCUAACCUUCGGGAGG